CCUGUCAGGAUGCUGGUGAUGAAGGUGAAGAAAUCCAGCAUGGACGGGCUGGAGCUGGUAAAGAGGAUGGUGCUUAUUAGGGCUAUGCAAAGGCAGAAGCUGGUGAUGCUGGAGAAGAGGAGGAAGGCCCAGGAAAGGUCCAGCAAGUCUGGGGAAGGAAGAUAAUCAGGAACACCACAAUUGGCCCAGGCUCUGAGUAUGGGGACAAGGGUCACCAGUUGGUGUGGGAGUAUUCUCAAAGCUCCUCCCUUGCAAAUUAUUUAUUCUCAUUUUAGGAAAAUUUAAAUUGGGCUCCAGAGAAGAGACAUUGAGACUGAUACUUCCAGCACUGAGGAUCUACCUCUAGAAGUCUAGCUCAGAACUUGGCCUCCGGCCUGGGCACUGCCUCAUACCUGCCAGAAUUGAUCUCAAUGGAGCUGCACAAUGAGAGGUUUUGCAUGUUGUCUAGAGGACUUUGGUUGAGUUCAGAGCUGAGCACACUUGCCUUCAGACUCUCCUGGGACUCCCAGUUCUCAUCCAUAUGAGCAAGGGCUUCAUGUUACUGGCUGUGGCCCUGUGCUGGGUCCUCCUCCCGCCCAUGGCCCUCUCCUCCUGGCCAGUGGUCCUCCGCCUCAACAUGGCCGACUUUGUCUUCAGUUUCCUCUGCCUCGGCAUUGGGCUCCUGAUUUCUCUUCAGCCUGAUGCUCUUUUCAGUUAACUGCAAGGCGGUGCACCCAAGUCCGGUGGUGUCCUACCUGGUGACCUCCUACCUGUGCUGGGACGCCAGCGACUUGAUGCUGCACUCCGGGCGCAGCGAGGCGGACAUCCAAACAGCGGAACUCAGACACUGACUCCGAACACACCCCGGGCCUUCCCAUUUCAUACACCCUCGAGGAUGAGAC